rnacentral:pre_miRNA from 1 species
GCUACGGCCCGCGUCGGGACCUCCGUCUCGGUGACCCCCUCUCUCGGGAGGGGGCCCGGGGCGGGCGGCCUCCCCGGCGCGGCGCCUC